UCCAUUAUUGCCCUUAAAAAUUUAAUAUUUUUUAAUGAAACAAAAUAUUAAUUAAAGGUUUAUAGUAAGUUUGUAAACAGGUCUAAAAUAUUUUCAGGAGAAUCAUGAUGAUAAUCAGUUGCAAUGUGAACUAACAAAUAACCUUGAAGUACAAGCAGAUCCAAUUAAUGUGGAACAAAUGAAGGAGAAUCAUGAUGAUGAUAAGUUGCAAUGUGAACUACCAAAUUACCAUGAAGUGCAACCAGAUUCAAAGCAUAUGGAACAAACAGAGGUGGAAUCAACUUCAGACGACAACUUUUCCAAACACCUUGUGAAAGUCAUCUGAAUGCCAGGAUUCUCAAGAGCAUGAAGAUAGUCCAUUACAUAGAAGGAAAACCUUGAUUAUGUAUCUUGAUGCCAUUGGUGAAAAGGCAGAGGUCUGAC